AGCUUUUUGAUUCUGUGCGCAGAUUUCGUCAGACACCAAACCACAAGGCUGAUCAGACAUUCAAGAUUAGUCAAGCU
rnacentral:pre_miRNA from 1 species